AUGGAGGGAGUGGAUCGCCAUGCUUCUUCACACCUCCUCCUCGCGUGUCCUAAUAAAUGGCGCUUUUUCAGAGCCAAUAUUACAUCGGAAGGGGCUCAGGCAGGGAGACCCUAUCUCCCAUUCCUAUUUGUGCUGGCGAUGGAUCCGCUUCAGCGCAUUAUGAACCUGGCCACGGAGGCUGGCCUCCUAGCGAAGCUUCCCGGCCGGCGGCAUAUCAUGCGCUGCUCCUUCUACGCCGACGAUGUGGCCCUCUUCAUGACACCGUCCGCGGCUGACGCAAGUUUGAUCAAGAUGUUGUUGAGCUUCUUUGGUAAUGCAACAGGGCUGCACACAAACACUCUUGAUACGUCUCCAACCUAUCUAUAA
rnacentral:rRNA from 1 species